GGAGGGAUGGCCGAGCGGUUGAUGGCGCCAGUCUUGAAAACUGGUAAAGGCGUAAGUCUUUCGUGGGUUCGAAUCCCACUCCCUCCG
rnacentral:tRNA from 3 species